UGGGGAAUUUUGGACAAUGGGCGAAAGCCUGAUCCAGCAAUGCCGCGUGUGUGAAGAAGGCCUUCGGGUUGUAAAGCACUUUUGUCCGGAAAGAAAUCCUUGGCUCUAAUACAGUCGGGGGAUGACGGUACCGGAAGAAUAAGCACCGGCUAACUACGUGCCAGCAGCCGCGGUAAUACGCAGGGUGCAAGCGUUAAUCGGAAUUACUGGGCGUAAAGCGUGCGCAGGCGGUUUGCUAAGACCGAUGUGAAAUCCCCGGGCUCAACCUGGGAACUGCAUUGGUGACUGGCAGGCUAGAGUAUGGCAGAGGGGGGUAGAAUUCCACGUGUAGCAGUGAAAUGCGUAGAGAUGUGGAGGAAUACCGAUGGCGAAGGCAGCCCCCUGGGCCAAUACUGACGCUCAUGCACGAAAGCGUGGGGAGCAAACAGGAUUAGAUACCCUGGUAGUCCACGCCCUAAAACGACGUCAACUAGUUGUUGGGGAUUCAUUUCCUUAGUAACGUAGCUAACGCGUGAAGUUGACCGCCUGGGGAGUACGGUCGCAAGAUUAAAACUCAAAUGAAUUGACGGGGUCAUAGCUGUUUCCU
rnacentral:rRNA from 1 species